UUAAGGAAGACCUUAGGCAUUAUCUAAGGUUCAUCUUCUCAGUAUCCCUGAAGCCUCUUCCCCUUCUUAGUUUCUAAAUGUUGGAAUGUCCCAAUGCCCUCUUCUCUUCUAUGUCCACACUCUUCUCCUGGAUGAUCUCAGAAGUCUAGUGCCUUGUAUAGAUUCUAUGUGUCAAUAACUCCCAAUUUAUGAGCCGUAGAUUGAUAUAUUUAAAUUGUCACUAGAGAUCACUACUCCGAUGUCUAAUAGGCAUAACCUUUACCUAAAUCUGACUACUUUUCACCAUCUCCACUAACGCCACCAGCAUCUUUUGCCUGGGUACUUUAACACCCUCUAAAUUUAUCAACCUCUUCCAGUAGCUUCCCAUGUCUCUCGAAGUAAAAACCCAAGACUUCACUGUGGUGUACAAGGCUCUACAUAAAUCAUCUGUGCCUUGUUAUUUUUCUUAAUUCAUUGCCUGUCCCUUUUCUCACCCCACUCCAACCAGAUUGGAGACCUCUGGAUCAUUUUCAAACACACCAAACUUGUUCCCAUUUCAGAGUUUUUGGACUUACUAUUUUCCCAGUCUAGGAUGACCUUCAGUCAGGUCUGUUCCCUCAACUCAUCCUGGUAUUCCUUGAGAUGGCAUCUCUUCUGAAAGCCUUCUACCAUCAGCAUAUCCAAAUACCAGUCUCCAUCACCCCCUGUCAUCCAUAGCACUAUCACUACCUAACAUUCUAUCAUGUGGUUUCUUUGUUUACAGCCUGUUUCCCAUGAUAGAUUGUAAGCUCCAUGAGGGAAGUCACUUUUUCUUUCCCUGUUUACCACUUUAACUUCCAGAACUUUGAACCCUCUUGGCACAGAGUAGAUGCUCACUAAUUAUCUGUUGAGGGACUAAAUACAUUGUCUAAUGAGAUUCCUUCAUUUGAGGAAGCUGGGGUCAGAAAGCCUCAUGAUCACACACUCGGUAGAGACGGAGCUGGUAUACUGACCACUGUACUACAUUUCAUCAUUAACUCUCUCUAAAUACCUAAUGAUUUCUUUUUAAUAAUUGUUGCAACUUGUCAGAUGAUACUUACCACGCCUGUAAGGAAGGCUGAAAGAAUAUAAUGUUUUGCCUAUGGAUGGCUUCAAUUAGUGAAUUUAAUGGCACAUUUUUAAUGGUAGCAAUAAUAAUAAUUCAUAUGGCAAUUGCACCUAUUUAUGUUUAAUCUGCUCAUCAAUAGUUGUGCUGUGUUUAGAGGCUUUCUUUGGCCCAAGGUUUAGAUUCUUCUUUCCUAAGGUAAGAAAAAUGCAUUUAGUAUCACCAAGAGUGAUGCACACACAGCGAGUACUAAACCUCUCCAUCCUCCACAGCUGCAGUAUUAACCAUGUCCAAUAAUUUUUCCAUUCCCUAAGUUAAACACAUGCUCCUUCCUUACCUUCCAGAAUACUGAGCUCCACCUGUUAGGUGAUCUUUGGAUCUGGAAAUCAUCCUCAUACUCCCAAAUUGAGGCUGUACAGUCCUCAUAAAACUGGUGCAGGUAGGACCGGACUCCAUAGCGCUGGUAACCACCCUCAGCUGCAGCCUGUGCCUGCCUGGACCCACAGACGUUGCUGCAAGAACUCAUCCUUCCCAGCUGGAAUGACAACAUCCACAUGGAUUAAUGCCACAGGCUUUGGCCACAGGAUCAAAAGACAUAUGAAAGAUUCGGUUCCAACUUGUGCCAUCUCUGGCCCCUCUGCUGAAGUUUCCAAUAAUGUGGAAAUGCCUGUUGAGGAAACUGGGAGUAGCACAGGUCUUCUAAAUUCCACCAGUACAUCUGCUUUUGGCUCACUCUCAACGAAGUAACUGAGACCAAAACAAGUUUUAGUUCAAACUUACCUGUGUCUGGAAGGAGAACCCAAAAUAUUUGGUGAACAGCUCUAAUGACUACUACACCUCUGGGGUACACAAUUCCUGCAGAGAUGACAAGGCAGGAAAACAGAGCCACACAGGAAAUCGGCAAUACUCCCAGUGUUAUAACUGAGUUGGCAGAUUGGAAAAACAUCACUAGACAGAGUCAUUUGCAUUGGUGAUAUUUUGGAUUUCACAAAGAGACUCAUACAUAGUGGAUACUUGAUUUAUUCUAAAAGCAGCCCUUCAGAGAAGUGCCUAGAAGAUGAGCUCUUCAAUGAAUGGUGCCGGGUCCAUUUGAAAAUUCACAAGGAAAAGAAAUGAAACUUGACUUUCACUUAUAUCCUAUAAAAAUUUAAUACCACCGGAAGGUAUAUCUAAAUGCAAAAUAUGAAAUGAUAAAUCACUUAGAAGAAAGCAUAGGAAAUCAUCUUGAUUACUUUGGGAUAGAUGAGGAUUUCUUAAGUGGAACACAAAAUUGCCAAGAGAAAGAUCCAUUAAAAUUAAGAGCUUCAAUUCACCAAAAGACAUCAUGAAGGGAGAGAAAAGGCAAGUUAUAGACUUGGAGAAGAUAUUUAUGAUACAAACAACUGCAGUGGGCUUAUAUCAGAAUACAUCAAGAAUUCCUACAAAUCUAUAAGAAAAGAUAAGGAAAAAUAUGUUUAGGGAUUUGAACAGGCACUUUACAAAAUAGGCUAUCUGAAGGGCAGCCUUGUUGAACUAUGUUUUUCAUCAAGGGAAUGUGAAUUCAAGCCACAGUGCAAUACCACUAUGUGGUAUGCAGGAGCCACCAGAAUGGCUAAAAUUUAAUACUGUGACUUCCAAAUAUGGGAAAAAAUGUGGAGCAAGCGUCAGGCUCAUCAAUGCAGGUGGGAGAACAAACUGGGAAAGUCACUUUGGAUGAGUUUCUGGUAUUUCAACCCCACAGUUUUGCUCCUAGGGUGGUUUAGGAUAAUGGCAGUGUAGUGAUAUAUAAACACCAAGAUGUAAGAUAGGAAAGAAAGGCUGAUGUGGUGGCUGAGACUGUAAUCCCAGCAUUUUGGGAGGCCAAGGUGGGAGGAUCGCUUGAGGCCAGGAGUUUGAGACCACCCUGGGCAACAAACUGAGAUUCCAUCUCUCCAAAAAGAAGAAGAAGAAGGAGAAG
rnacentral:lncRNA from 10 species